GCCGAGAAUAUUCGACAAUGGGCGAAAGCCUGAUCGAGCGACACUGCGUGAAGGAUGAAGCUUUUCGGAGUGUAAACUUCUUUUCUAUGGGAAAAAGUAAUUGAUGGUACCUUAGGAAUAAGGGGCUGCAAACUUCGUGCCAGCAGCCGCGGUAAUACGAAGGCCCCGAGCGUUAUCCGGAUUUACUGGGCGUAAAGCGCGUCUAGGAGGAUCGACACGUCUGUCUGUUAAAUCUUGCCGCUCAACGGUGAGGCUGCAGCAGAUACGGUUGAUCUCGAGGUCGUUAGAGGUAGAUGGAACACACGGUGUAGGGGUGAAAUCCGUUGAUAUCGUGUGGAACACCCAAUGCGAAGGCAAUCUACUGGGACGAACCUGACUCUCAAACGCGAAAGCGUGGGUAGCAAAAAGGAUUAGAAACCCCGGUAGUCC
rnacentral:rRNA from 1 species